UGGGGAAUCUUGCGCAAUGGCCGAAAGGCUGACGCAGCGACGCCGCGUGUGGGAUGACGCCUUUCGGGGUGUAAACCACUGUUGCCCGGGACGAACAGCCCUUUUCGAGGGGUCUGACGGUACCGGGUGAGGAAGCACCGGCUAACUCCGUGCCAGCAGCCGCGGUAAUACGGAGGGUGCGAGCGUUGUCCGUAAUCAUUGGGCGUAAAGGGCGCGUAGGUGGCCUGGUCAGCGUGCGGUGAAAGCCUGGGGCUCAACCCCGGGUCGGCCGUGCGAACUAGCUGGGCUGGGCAGCACUGUAGAGGCAGGCGGAAUUCCGGGGUGUAGCGGUGGAAUGCGUAGAGAUCCGGAAGAACACCGGUGGCGAAGGCGGCCUGCUGGGCAGUAGCUGACACUGAGGCGCGACAGCGUGGGGAGCAAACAGGAUUAGAUACC
rnacentral:rRNA from 1 species